AUGGAGGCAUACAUCUAUCUUUUAGCUCUUCUUCCACUUCUGUACAUCCUACGCUCCCUGAGAGCUUUCUUUUGCUCCGGCGACCGCGGUCUACGGCUUCCUCCUGGCCCAUGGCAGCUUCCUAUCAUCGGCAACCUCCACCAUCUUUUUGGUGCCCUCCCACACCGUGCCUUACGGGAUCUCUCUCGGCGCCAUGGGCCCCUUAUGCUCCUCAAGCUCGGUAAGGUUCCAGUGAUCGUCGCCUCCAGCGCCGAAGCUGCCAAGGAGAUCAUGAAGACGCACGACCACAUCUUCUGCACAAGGCCACUGAGCUCAACGGCCAAGGUGCUGAACGAGCAUGGCACGGGGAUCACGUUCUCCCCAUACGGUGCACACUGGCGGCAGCUCCGCAAGAUUUGCGUCCUCGAGCUGCUGAACGCCAAGCGCGUCAAAUCUUUCUGGCCCACCCGUGAGGAGGAGGUAAUCAGGUUCAUUCGAUCCAUCUCAUCUGCAUCAGAGACACAGCUAACUGUGAAUCUGAGUAACAUGCUCACCAUUUACGGGUCGGACACGACGGUGCACUCCACCUUGGGUUGCCGGUUCAAGGACCGUGACAGUGACACCUUGCUCGAUUAUGUCGCCGAGGCGGUGCGGCUGAUAGGUGGCUACACCUUAUCCGACUUGUUCCCGUCGUCGAGGCUAGCGCGCACUCUGAGCAGCACACUGCGCAGGGCUGCGGUCUUUCGAGACUCUGUGCUAUCCUUCCUGGAGCGUAUCAUAGAUGAUCAUCUCGCGAGGAGAUCCUCCAAGGAAGUUCACCAGGAAGACCUGGUCGAUGCCCUCUUGAGGAUCAAACGAGAAGGCAACCUUGCGUUCCCCCUCACCAUGAACCAUAUCAAAGCAGUGAUUUUAGAUGUUUUUGCAGGGGGGAGCGAGUCACCGAUAACAACGCUACAGUGGGCCAUGACAGAGUUGAUGCAAAACCCUAGUGUGAUGUCUAGGGCACAAGCUGAGGUCAGGGGUGCCUUCGCGGGACAAAUGAAGGUAACCGAGGAGGGUCUAGCCAAUCUAAGCUACUUGCAGUGUAUCAUCAAGGAGACGUUGAGGUUGCACGCACCUACGCCAUUACUACUGCCAAGGGAAUGCCAAGAGCAAUGUAACAUACUCGGCUAUGACGUUCCCAAGGGCGCCAUUGUUCUUGUGAAUGCUUGGGCUAUCUCAAGGGACCCUGAGUACUGGGAAGAACCGGAAGCAUUCAUCCCAGAUAGAUUUAUGGGCAGUAAGGUGAAUUACAAUGGUAUCAACUUUGAGUUCGUACCAUUCGGCGCCGGGCGGCGGAUUUGCCCCGGGGUGUUGUUUGGGGUCGCGAACAUUGAGCUCGCUCUCGCAAGCCUUUUGUUUUAUUUCGACUGGGCUCUUCCAGAUGGCAUUCUCCCCGGUGAUCUUGACAUGACGGAAACCAUGGGAAUCAGUGCUAAGAAGAAGUUGGAUCUGCGAUUGCGUGCAACUCUCCACGUACAGCUGCCGCGCUGA
rnacentral:rRNA from 1 species